CCCUCCUACAACGUCCGCAGCCUGCGCCGCGCGGUGGCUCUGGACUAGGCCUUUUCCUCUGGGUUGUGGAUCCUCUUCUCUAUGACUCCGUCCGAUCCCUAGUCUUUCUUCCAAAACAUCAUGAAACCCCCCCUCCAGGAGCCUUUCAUGCUUCUCUGUGUCUCAGUUUCCUCUUCUAUAACGUGGACGUAACAUGUUAUUCCCUCCAUAGCAGUGCUCCAUAUGUUUAGUUAUGAUUGUUGCUAUUAUUAAUAUUAUUGCUCUAUUAAUCCUGCUUGGCAGGACCUCUAGAUGACUUAAACAUCUCUGGCUUCACUGAUGGGGACACACACCAGCUCAGAGAGGUCAAGGGACUUGGCUCAAGUUUUAAAAAAUGAGUCAGAGGCCCGCUGGAUUGUAUUUUUCAUUCAUUCAUUCAUUCAACAAAUACUGAGCACCUAGCUGGGAAUACAGUGGCCAACAAGAAGUCCCUGCUCUCCUGGAGCUGACUUUUCAGCUCUGAAACUCUGAGCUCCUCUCCACCGUUCCAGCACUGGACACCAGGCCUGUUACCCAGAAGGUGGGUGCUCAGUAAAUGCCCACUGGUUGGAAAGAGUGCAGACUUCACAUCCACCCAUCUUUGGCUCGUGGAGGGCUCAGUGAGCGUGUGAGAAAAUGAAGCAACUUGGCAGAAUGAACGUGCCUGUUAAUCUGCAACCCAGAGAAGAUGUAAAGUCCUCUUGGGGCCAUGUGCGGUGGCUCACGCCUGUAAUCCCAGCACUUUGGGAGGCUGAAGCUGGUGGACCACUUGAGGUCAGGAGUUUGAGACCAGCCUGGGUAACAUGGCAAAACCUUAUCCCUAAAAAUAUACAAAAAAAUGGCUGGGCGCGGUGGCUCACGCCUGUAAUCCCAGCACUUUGGGAGGCUGAGGCGGGCAAAUCACCCGAGGUCAGGAGUUCAAGACCAGCCUGGCCAACAUGGUGAACCCUGUCUCUACUAAAAAUACAAAAAUUAUCUGGCUGUGAUGGCAGGCGCCUGUAAUCCCAGCUACUCUGGAGGUUGAGGCAGAAGAAUCGCUUGAACCUGGGAGGUGGAGGUUGCAGUGAGCAGAAUCAUAUCACUGCACUCCAGCCUGGGUGACAGAGCUGAAUAAAUAAAAUUAUGUAUUCAGUGGAAGGCUGAUCAAGGACUCAAAAGAAUGCAAUCUUUUGUCUCCUAUCUACUUUUUUUUUUUUUGAGACAGAGUCUCACUCUGUCGCCCAGGCUGGAGUGCAGUGGCACAAUCUCGGCUCACUGCAACCUCUGCCUCUGAGGUUCAAGUGAUUCCCCUGCCUCAGCCUCCCAGGUAGCUGGGACUAUAGGCAUGCCCCACCAUGUCCGGCUAAUUUUUGUUGUUGUUGUAUUUUAGUAGAGACGGGGUUUCACCAUGUUGGCCAGGAUGGUCUGGAUCUCCUGACCUCAUGAUCCGCCCACCUCAGCCUUCCAAAGUGCUGGGAUUAUAGGCAUGAGCCACUGCACCUGGCCUUGUCUCUUAUGUAUUUCUAACCUGGAAGCCCCUGCUUCAAGCUGUCCUGUCUUACCAGACCAAACCAAUGUACAUCUUACACAUAUUGAUUGAGGUCUCAUGUCUCCCU
rnacentral:lncRNA from 1 species